AUGCCAAGUUUUGGGGAUCGGCAUCCCAGCCCUGGGAAAGGACCAUGUCACCUGGGAAGGGCAGAUGCCACAGAGGAUGCUGAAAGCCAUCCUCUCUCCAUGUUCUCUCACUUCCCAAAUGGGCAGCUUCGUUGCCUGGAGGAGGCUGGAUCACCUGCUGGGGGGCAGUGCCAGGGAAGCUCCUGUGGCAGUAUCUUUCAGGUGAACACAAAAGCACCCGAUGAAGAUUGGCUCAUUGGAUUCUCUGAGCCUCAGAAGCCACUUUCAAGAUUAUCUAGUGCCUUUCCCUUGACUUGAAGGAUGGCAUGCCUUUCAAGUACUCUGGGCAGAUGGGAAGCUCACCUGUUGGCAUAAACCCCGCAGUGAGUAAAGCUUGGCAUUUUCUUUGUAAAGGAGAGAGAGAGAGGAGGGAGAGAGGGAGAUGGGGAGAGAGAGGGGGGUGUACCUCUAAAGGCUUUUUGAAUUUCUCUGUACUUUGGUGAACCACAGAGUCUACCUUUCAAAACUCCCAAUGCAAAUAAUCCUUUGUCUAAAAAACAGUAAGUCUUGGGGCAGCUAGGUAGCCCAGUGAAUAGAGCUCCGGCCUUGGAGUCAGGAGGACCUGAGUUCAAAUCCUGCCUCAGACACAUGACACUUACUAGCUGUGUGACCUUGGGCAAGUCACUUAACCCCAAUUGCCUCACCAAAAAAAAAGCAAAACAAACAAACAAACAAAAAUAAAACAAAAAAAACCCCAGUAAGUCUCA
rnacentral:lncRNA from 1 species